rnacentral:rRNA from 1 species
GUGAGGAAUAUUGGUCAAUGGGCGGGAGCCUGAACCAGCCAAGUCGCGUGAAGGAAGAAGGAUCUAUGGUUCGUAAACUUCUUUUGCAGGGGAAUAAAGUGCAGGACGUGUCCUGUUUUGUAUGUACCCUGAGAAUAAGGAUCGGCUAACUCCGUGCCAGCAGCCGCGGUAAUACGGAGGAUCCGAGCGUUAUCCGGAUUUAUUGGGUUUAAAGGGUGCGUAGGUGGUUUGAUAAGUCAGCGGUGAAAGUUUGCAGCUUAACUGUAAAAAUGCCGUUGAAACUGUCGGACUUGAGUGUAAAUGAGGUAGGCGGAAUGCGUGGUGUAGCGGUGAAAUGCAUAGAUAUCACGCAGAACUCCGAUUGCGAAGGCAGCUUACUAGGCUACAACUGACACUGAAGCACGAAAGCGUGGGGAUCAAACAGGAUUAGAAACCCGAGUAGUCC